rnacentral:rRNA from 1 species
AUUGAACGCUGGCGGCAUGCCUUACACAUGCAAGUCGAACGGUAACAGGUCUUCGGAUGCUGACGAGUGGCGAACGGGUGAGCAAUACAUCGGAACGUGCCUAGUAGUGGGGGAUAACUACUCGAAAGAGUGGCUAAUACCGCAUGAGAUCUACGGAUGAAAGCAGGGGAUCGCAAGACCUUGUGCUACUAGAGCGGCCGAUGGCAGAUGAGGUAGUUGGUGGGAUAAAAGCUUACCAAGCCGACGAUCUGUAGCUGGUCUGAGAGGACGAUCAGCCACACUGGGACUGAGACACGGGCCAGACUCCUACGGGAGGCAGCAGUAAGGAAUAUUAGUCAAUGGACGGAAGUCUGAACCAGCCACGCCGCGUGGAGGAAGAAGGUUCUCUGGAUUGUAAACUCCUUUUGCCAAGGGCUAAGAGCGAGCUAUAGGCUUGUGUGAAAGUACUUGGUGAAUAAGCCACGGCUAACUACGUGCCAGCCGCCGCCGUAAGAC